UCCGUAGGGUCCGAGCGUUGUCCGGAAUUAUUGGGCGUAAAGAGCUCGUAGGCGGUUUGUCGCGUCUGCUGUGAAAUCCCGAGGCUCAACCUCGGGUCUGCAGUGGGUACGGGCAGACUGGAGUGCGGUAGGGGAGAAUGGAAUUCCUGGUGUAGCGGUGGAAUGCGCAGAUAUCAGGAGGAACACCGAUGGCGAAGGCAGUUCUCUGGGCCGUAACUGACGCUGAGGAGCGAAAGUGUGGGGAGCGAACAGG
rnacentral:rRNA from 1 species